UCAAUAAAAACACAAGGAAAAAACGCAUUGAACACUGUUUAAAUAAGUAAUAAUGAGUAGUUGUCAUGGUAAAUGUUUAUCGAAAGGUUAAAGGAGAAGGUCACCAAAAACGCAGCAUUUCAAGAUUAGGUAACUAAUCUCACACUAGUAACUACUCUUUGGUGCAUAACACGAGAAAAAGUUGCAGUGACACUAUUAUUUUUAUAUUGUUAUUAUGCAUAAGUAUCUAAUUAUUUCCAUUUUCGUCCUUUUGUUUUCAAUGGCAUUUGCGCCACCUGCACAAAAACCGUUUUCAAUAGACGAUUGUUCGAAACCAAUACACAUUGGAAAGACUGCAUGCUUCGCCGCCUUCCGUAUUUACCACUGGAAUCACGCAGAACAGCAGUGUGAAAAGGGGAUAUACGGGGGAUGUCAUGGGAGUAACAAUAUUUUCUCUUCUCUUGAAGACUGUCAGAAUACUGCUGAAAGUAUUUGUAAGACAAAUAAAAAUUAACUUGUAUGGUGAAUAUGGAAUUGUAAACUCUUAAUUCUGACUCAAAGAAUGAAGACUUUUGUUGAUACAUUUUAUAAAUUUCAGUUUGAUAUAAUAAACAUGAUUUAGUAAAAAUUA